rnacentral:rRNA from 1 species
UUUAAGAAAAUUUUUAAAAUUUGGUUUAGUUGAACUGGAUUAGUACCCAGGUAAUCAAAAUUAAUUAAUUCGGGAGUAAAGUUUUGUUUAAACCGAAAAAAUAUUGACUGACUCUGGAUUUCUUUUUGGAAUAUGUGUAUGGAGAGCCCUCUUUUAUAGUAAAUCUUUUUUUGCACAUGUAUGAUUGUUUAGUUUUUAUUUUAUUUUGUAAUGCUUUAUCUUUAGAUUAAAAACAGAUAUAUAUUUGGCUUAUGGGUUUAUUAAUC